CCAAUAGCGUAUAUUAAAGUUGUUGCAGUUAAAAAGCUCGUAGUUGAAUUUCGGGGUUAGUAGGUUGGUCAUGCCUCUGGUAUGUACUGGUCUCACUGAUUCCUCCUUCCUGAUGAACCUUAAUGCCAUUUAUUUGGUGUUUUGGGGAAUUUGGACUGUUACUUUGAAAAAAUUAGAGUGUUUAAAGCAAGCUAACGCUUGAAUACAUUAGCAUGGAAUAAUGAAAUAGGACGUUCGGUCCUAUUUUGUUGGUUUCUAGGAUGGAAGUAAUGAUUAAUAGGGAUAGUUGGGGGCAUUAGUAUUCAAUUGUCAGAGGUGAAAUUCUUGGAUUUAUUGAAGACUAACUACUGCGAAAGCAUUUGCCAAGGAUGUUUUCAUUAAUCAAGAACGAAAGUUAGGGGAUCGAAGACGAUCAGAUACCGUCGUAGUCUUAACCAUAAACUAUGCCGACUAGGGAUCGGAUGAUGUUAAUUUUUUAAUGACUCAUUCGGCGCCUUACG
rnacentral:misc_RNA from 1 species